rnacentral:rRNA from 1 species
CUCGUAGGCGGUUUGUCGCAUCUGCUGUGAAAUCCGGAGGCUCAACCUCCGGCCUGCAGUGGGUACGGGCAGACUAGAGUGCGGUAGGGGAGAUUGGAAUUCCUGGUGUAGCGGUGGAAUGCGCAGAUAUCAGGAGGAACACCAAUGGCGAAGGCAGAUCUCUGGGCCGUAACUGACGCUGAGGAGCGAAAGCAUGGGGAGCGAACA